rnacentral:rRNA from 1 species
AGAGUUUGAUCCUGGCUCAGGAUGAACGCUGGCGGCGUGCCUAAUACAUGCAAGUCGAGCGGAAGAUUUAGCAAUAGAUCUUUAGCGGCGAACGGGUGAGUAACGCGUUGGUGACCUGCCUCGAAGACCGGGAUAACAGUUCGAAAGGACUGCUAAUACCGGAUGUGGCUCCCCAGAUUAGAAGCUGGGGAGUUGAAGGAGCAAUCCACUUCGAGAGGGGCCUGCGUCCCAUCAGCUAGUUGGUAGGGUAAAGGCUUACCAAGGCGAUGACGGGUGGGGGACCUGAGAGGGUGGCCCCCCACAAUGGAACUGAAACACGGUCCAUACACCUACGGGUGGCAGCAGUAGGGAAUAUUGCAUAAUGGGCGAAAGCCUGAUGCAGCAACGCCGCGUGUGCGAUGAAGGCCUUCGGGUCGUAAAGCACUUUUGAAGGGGAUGAGGAAGGACAGUACCCUUCGAAUAAGCUUCGGCUAACUACGUGCCAGCAGCCGCGGUAAAACGUAGGAAGCGAGCGUUAUCCGGAUUUACUGGGCGUAAAGCGCGUGUAGGCGGUCUGGCAAGUUGGAUGUGAAAGCUCCUGGCUUAACUGGGAGAGGUCGUUCAAUACUGCGAGACUAGAGGAUGGGAGAGGGAAGUGGAAUUCCGGGUGUAGUGGUGAAAUGCGUAGAUAUCCGGAGGAACACCAGUGGCGAAAGCGGCUUCCUGGCCCACCCCUGACGCUCAGACGCGAAAGCUAGGGGAGCGAACGGGAUUAGAGACCCCGGGUAGUCCUAGCUGUAAACGAUGUGGACUUGGCGUUGGCGGGUUUAAAUCCGUCAGUGCCGAAGCAAACGCGAUAAGUCCCCCGCCUGGGGACUACGGGCCGCAAGGUUAAAACUCAAAGGAAUUGACGG